GUGCCAGCAGCCGCGGUAAUACGUAGGGGGCGAGCGUCGUCCGGAUUUAUUUGGCGUAAAGAGCUCGUAGGCGGUUCAACAAGUCGGUCGUGAAAGUUCAGGGCUCAACCCUGAAAUGUCGAUCGAUACUGUUGUGACUAGGAUACGGUAGAGGUGAGUGGAAUUCCGAGUGUAGCGGUGAAAUGCGUAGAUAUUAAGAGGAAUACCAAUGGCGAAGGCAACUUUCUGGAUAGAUACUGACACUGAGGUGCGAAAGCGUGGGGAUCAAACAGGGUAAGAUA
rnacentral:rRNA from 1 species